AUGACAACAGGGACACCAAUGAAAGCAAAGAGGACAGAACUCACCUCUCCACCUCUCUGACCUCCAAGAUUCACCUAGUGUGUCUUUAUGGACAAAGACACUUGAAUUUCAAACCUUCUGGGCUUCUUCCCAGUGCUAAAUUCUGUCGACUGGUUUGACUAGGGGAAAGAGAGAAAGAGGUGUUGCAUUUUAAAAAUUCUUUUCUAAACACUCAGAAAGAUUAGCAGGUGGAUGGAUAUGAAAAGAGCCACUUCAUCUGCAGAAAUCAGUUACUGAAAGCUAUUCUGAAGAUCCUAGCAGAGCCCUGGCAAACAGUGAAGGCCAAGAAGGCAUUGGAGGGCACCAGCCCAGGAAGCGGGGCGAGAGUACUCAAGACCCACCACAGUCAUCUUGAUUCAGGGACAGCACAUGUGAAAUAAAAGCUCUAACCUAAGAAGAAAGAUCUUUUUCUCAUCAAGAAGAUGUGAGAAUCCACACUGACACACGCACUUGCACAAGUGUGCGCACACACACAAUAGAUCAUGAGCUCUUUUGAUAACAUCAAUCAGAUACCACAGGCAAUAAAUGGAAUUCAAGGAAAUGGACCUCAUGGAAAUGCCAUAUUUGAAAUUAUGGAGCCUCUCUUUGUAGUCCAGAUCGGCCAUGGACUCACAAUCCUCUUCUUUAGCUUCAUGAGUGCUGGAUUCAGGUGUAUGCCAUCUUGCCCAGCUCUGUGUCUUGUUUGAAGGGAGAUAUUACAGCAUGUUUGUACGAUGAUGUAGAAACUUGAUGAAAGGGAAAAUUAGAAGAUGCUUACUCUAGUGAUAUCUAUUAAUGGAAGAUUUCUUCCUAAAGAAAAUUGUGUCAUCCUGGUUGCAACAAGAUAAGGUGUUCUACAUCUUGCAGGAUAUGAUGGAUCUCUACAGAGGUGCCCAGGUCCUCAAAAUGCACAAUUAGAAGCACAGGGAAAUGAAUUUUGGUGAACCUCUUACCCAUCUCCCCUUUACAUGCAGAGAAAGCAUACCCGGAUGGCCUUUGUUCACUCUCCCAUUCUUCAUCAGAACUGCUCAUUUAUUUUAGGCCUACAAAUAUCAAGGGGUUAACCUUAAGGGUCCUGAAAUGGACACUAUUUUUUCCAUCCCUUUGUAUUUACUCAUAAAAUGUGUAGACAUUUAUUACAGCAUCUCAUUAAGAAGUGAAUUACAUCUUAUAAGAAGUAAUGUAUGUACAACAGUUUCAAAACUGUUUUUGAGAUUUAGAUUUUCUUGAAAAAAUAGUUUUAGCUUUCCUCCCAUACAUAGAUAUAUGUCAUAGCCAUGUAUCAAUUAUAGCUUUAAUAGAAUAGCAUUUCUGUGCUGUGAUCCUGCUUUCUUUUCUCCUCUGCAUCCCCUUGCAAAGUUGUACAAUAUUCCCUUCCAUGCUUUAAACUGGCAAACAACACUGCUCAUCUCACAGAAUUAAAACCUUUCCAGAUGUGGAUUUGAUUAAUAGAAGCUUACUAACUGUGGCUAAUUACUGAUAAUGAUAGUAUCACAAGGCAACUUCCUCAUCAAUGUCACCUUGGUCUUUUCUGGUUGCUAGGAUAGAAAGAAACUCUACUUGCCACCCUCCUCCACUCCAAGUGAAAACAGGAAAGAUUUUCAACUUUGCUUUGAAUGGUAGCUAAUAGAGGUUCUAUAAAAAGCAGCCACUCUGAAGAAGAAGAAGACAGUUGCCAUUUAGAGUUAUAUGAGAACUUCAGCCCUGUACACCCUGGUUUCACAGUGAGGAUAGAUGAGUCACACAGAGAUAACACCCUAAUACUCAGAGUGGUGGGUAGUGACCUACGAGUAGUUUUCUCUUGGGGUUUAGAGCUCCAUUUUCAAUUGUUUUUUGUCUCCUAGAAACAGGGGAAUAGAGUUUGUAUGUCAAGAAUCCAAAUGGAAAUAAAUGCCUUUCCCUGUCUGAAUA